rnacentral:rRNA from 1 species
GAUGAACGCUGGCGGUGUGCCUAAUACAUGCAAGUCGAGCGAAUGGAUUAAGAGCUUGCUCUUAUGAAGUUAGCGGCGGACGGGUGAGUAACACGUGGGUAACCUGCCCAUAAGACUGGGAUAACUCCGGGAAACCGGGGCUAAUACCGGAUAACAUUUUGAACCGCAUGGUUCGAAAUUGAAAGGCGGCUUCGGCUGUUACUUAUGGAUGGACCCGCGUCGCAUUAGCUAGUUGGUGAGGUAACGGCUCACCAAGGCAACGAUGCGUAGCCGACCUGAGAGGGUGAUCGGCCACACUGGGACUGAGACACGGCCCAGACUCCUACGGGAGGCAGCAGUAGGGAAUCUUCCGCAAUGGACGAAAGCCUGACGGAGCAACGCCGCGUGAGUGAUGAAGGCUUUCGGGUCGUAAAACUCUGUUGUUAGGGAAGAACAAGUGCUAGUUGAAUAAGCUGGCACCUUGACGGUACCUAACCAGAAAGCCACGGCUAACUACGUGCCAGCCGCCGCAGUAA